CAUCGGUAAUGGUGCAUGUGCUUGAUAUUUCCAUGGUAAAUAUAGUUUAUAUAAUUAUUUGUAAGUGAUUCAGCCUAAAUAAAGGACAAACGUUAACACAUUUCGCUAUACGUUACCUGAUGUGUGUGAGACCCAACAAAGACAUUUAAUUGUUACUAGAUGAUUGCAUAGAUGCAAUAUUGUUAUUAUAGGAAGAUCUCAGUCCCCUGGAUACUUUCUCAGUUUCCUGCAGAUGGUUUUUAAACGAAUUCUGAUAAAAUGACUAAUAGUUAUUUACUCGUCUGACCGCUUUUGUAGCAUGUCCUCCGCUAUACCUGAAGCUUGUUACAAUUCAUAAAUUAAAUAAAGAGGUUUCUGUACUACAUUUUAUCGCUAUUUUCUACGAAUAGGGAUAAAAGAGAAACAUUAUAUGAACUCGAUCUGUUCAAAAUUGCAUUAACAAGUUAUAACAACACUAUACAACAUAAAAGAAGGCAUAAUGACCUUAAAUUUUAUGUAGUAUUAAAUUCAAUUCUCCACCAAUAUUAACCUUCCAUUGGUAGGAAUGGGUGCUUGAAGUGAAGUAUCAAUAGUAAAUAAUUUCAUUAAUCAUUGAUGAAUUCCUCCUUUUACUAUACUAUGUAUGCAGUACGCUAUCGUUUCUUCCAUUUAUUUCAUAUACGUGUGCUCUCAUCGUACGAUUCCAUCGCAUACCAGCAAACAUGCAUCAUGCGUCAUGAGAAGUAAAGAAAUGUGUCUCGACUGAAGUGCAACCGUAAGGAAAAAGAAAUAGCAAGUUUUCAUUCAUUGAAUACGAUGAUUCAAUGUUAUAAACGGAGCGACGUGAUUCGAAUGGCACACGAACAGGUGAAAAGGUAUUAAUUUCCUUCAAAUCAGAUAAUCGUUGGCUGUCCACGUUUCUCCAAUACAAUUCCGGCACGGCCCAUUAUAAAUCGAUCAAUUACCUUGGUCGAGUCGUGCUCGACGAAUUCUCCGGAUGCCGUAGGAGGUUUCUCGAGUGUGCCAGAACUCGCGUCUGUCAUCGGCUAGUUCACGAACAUGGCCGAUUGACGCGUGUGUGUGGCGAAUAGUGCGCCAGACGAGCGGCGCCACGAGGAAUCCCCGCAUACACCUGAACCAAGCCCAGACCGAGCGACCGCUUGCGUAAUAGCACGUCGAACGACGGUCGACGCAGUCUGUACUAUUUCUGUGGCGUUCCGCUUACGUUCCACUCCACUCGACUCCACUCGGCCUCCAACCUCUAACUAACCGCACGACUCAAACAGACCAUCGGUGACGAAACACGCCGCACUCUUGCUAUAGUCCCUUUCGUCUGCUUCGUCAGUUUCUCGCGCCAGUUACGACUUCACCGAGGGCGCGUGAUACCUAGUUCGAAAUCUUAUGUCUGGAAGGAUUACAACGAUGGUGGUCCGAAUUGCCGAAGAGUCAUAGUUCUCGAGAUAUUAACAAAAAUAUGUUGGUCUUACUACGUCGCUUUCUAUGUGUAUAUGUACCGCGUACACGGAUGUAGUCGACGCGAUAGCCGCUUCGUUCGAUGCUCGCCAGUCACUUUACACUGGCAAUCAAAUCAUCUUUGCGUAACCGAUCGCUUCACGAAGAAUAAUUCAAACCUAAUCCAAUACUAUAUACUGCAAAUAGAUCGUGGAGCGGCGAGCGAAGCAGCUAUCGCGUCGCUUGCGUCUGUGUACGCACUCGUAUAUAGUAUUAGUAUAUUUUUGUUAAUAUCUUGAAAGCUAUGAUUUUGCGGCAAUACAGACCACCACCGUUGUAAUCCUUCAGGCAUAAGCUUCCGAUUAAGGUAUCUUACGCCCUCCUACGCAUUGUACUUCCGCGAACUUACUUGCCUUUCAUUCUCUCACUUUUCUCCUGCUGUCUUUGCAGCAUAAGUUAUCACUCCUGUUGAAAAUGACUGUAUCAUGCACUCGCUCAUCGAUCGUUUUGAAUUUUUGCGCCAUCGAUCACUGCGGUCGACAAUCGAUGAAUGACACGUGAUUCGGCGGAAGUGUCGCCAUAUUCCUUUCUUACUUUCUUCCUUUCUACUAUAUUUUAUAUAUAUAUUUUAGAGAGAAGAUGGAAUCGUUUUGUUUUAUUAGAUGUAUAAGAAAACUAUUUAAACGAUUUAAAAUUGAAACAACUUCUUUUAUAAUAUAUAAAUAUAAUAAGCUGUAUACGUGAGAGUCUGUAUAAUAAUCUCUGAUUGGCUCUUUUAAGUAGGCUCUUUAACAUAUAUGACGCGGAGAUUCUUAAAUAUGUUGCGUUUAUUGAUAUAAAAUUAGCAUUACUACCUCUAAUCAAAUAUUAAAUGUAGUCGUACAGAUGCGAGUAAAUUCUGAAAAUAUCUGUGAUAGAAUUUUCUAUAAAAAAAAUUAAUACUAAUAAAAAUAGCCAUAGCGAUUUCACCACUUCUCACCCAUAAAAAACAUUAUAAGCUUUCUGGAGAUCGUAAGAAUCCAUGUUUUAAUGUUUAGUAUACGUGACAGUCAAUGGCAGGUAAAUUUAUGUCGAAAUAUAUACUUUGUAAUAAGAAAUUUAUAUUUUCUAGUUAUCUAGAUAUGAAAUUAAUUAAAAUAUUAAAAUAUUUAGCGAAAUGAAAAAAAAUAAUCCGAACGUUAUCUGUUAAAAGUUGUAACUUUUAUUUAUUUCUUUUAUUUAUUGCGAUAAAGUAUUUUAUGAAAUAGGAAUUUAAUUUACUG
rnacentral:lncRNA from 1 species